CCUACAGUCAUUCUUCCACACAUAAAGGGAAAACGGACUCACUAGGAGGACUUAGACUCUUUCAGCUUGAACUGUUAGCCAAUGGUGGAAAUGCAAGAAUGCUGAAGUUGUGCCUUCGGAGCCAAUAGAGUGGAUUUGUGUGUCCCACAUGACUGUGUUUCCCCUGUCUUUCACAUGGGCAGUAUUUAGUUCAAUUCAGAACUGCAGAUAGUAUAGCGUGCAGAGCAGCAAUGGGAUGUCUGAGCACAAGUGGCUGACUUCCAGGCGACUUCAGGAAGCACAUUUGUAAUAUUUCUCAUGAAUUAAACGGGAUUCUACACUCUUGACAUCCUCUGACCCUCCUUGUCUCUGCAGAAGGAGACAGCGACCUGCACAGCACAGCAAAACUGAUCAUAACUUCUGAGCUUGCUGUGCAUCUGUAGAAGCAGUCAUUUGGGUACUUACACUUACAAAACUUCAGAAUCCCUUGCCUGGAUAACGUUGUUUCAUUUGUCUUGCUUUAGACAAAUCACCGCAGAGCUGCAGACCUGCAAAGGAAGUGAACUGAGGUCAAUUUGACCAACAUCAUCUGUGUCAGCUUGCCAGAGGUUGAUGAAACAUGUUAUCAGAUCUCCAAGCAAUGAAAACUAUUAUCUCCUACAGAAGAAUGAACCUUCCCAUAUUAUGUUGUUUAUUAGCACCACAUUAACAAUGUGCCACCUCAGCCAAAUGGUCAGGCAGCACCAUGGUCCCAGGUACAAGGAAAAGAUCAUUAUGAAAUUCUACCUGCCUCAUUUGCGCAAAUCAAAAGACCACAAACCUCAGAAAAUCGCUGUGUGGAAGAAACACACUGGGCCAACCUAUCAUGUCGACAGUACACAAAGAACAGCCCAGUUUGGUAUUCUUUCUGCUCUGAAGGACUCUCGUGUCAGGAGGAAGGGAAGAAAUAAACCACCACAAAAACAAAACCUGCUUUCCUCAUGGAAGAAUGGUAACUUUGGACAACAUUUGGCACCACAAGUUCAAAGAGCCAUUUCAUCUGCAUUGUAUUUAUGUUUCUUUAGACUACAUAUUUUCCACUUCUUUUUAUUAUAUAAGACUAUGGAGAACCAUAUAUUUUCCAUGGCAAAGGGGCAGCUGAUACCUGAAUAUUAGCAAGCCAGUAUUUGGUGUGACAUGAAUUAAAGUGUCCAAGUAGGAAGGAAUUUCAAGAUUUAGAUCCGAGCAAGAACUCAGAUGAUCACAAUCUGAACUGCAAGCAGAAGCCCAAAAUGAAUUUUGAAGCUACUUUCAAGACCUGUUACCUGAAGAUACAUUAAACUCAUUGAACAGUGACAGAUCAAAAUGGAAGAGCAAGUAAAACAAAACUAGCUAACAAGGGCAAACCAGAGAACAUGUGCAAAAAAAGGGAAUGGAAAACUGAGGCACCUGUCAGAAGCCUAUAACUUGGAUGUCUGUUAAUAGCUUUGUCUUCAGUUAUGUUAUUCAACUGUAAUUACUACAAAGUGUGAGUGGCUACAUAGUUUGAAUAAGCCACAGAUACUUAAACUAAAAGGAUCUUAGGCUACUGCAUAGUCUUCAAAGAUACACUGCAUUAAAUUUAGCACAUUUCUAUGAUACUCUUGCACUCAGAUUUCACUUUUCAGUGAUGGACCAAAAACAUUGGGAUUUUCAGCAAAAAUGCCACUAAUUGUCAAGGGAGGGGAUAUUUCAAAAUUCCUUGGUCCUCUUGAAGAUCCCUGCAUGCAGUUUCAGGGUAACAUACUGGUUUAAAAAAACUCAUAUGUAGUUUCCUAGAAAAUAGUAAAGCACUUACACUAAGUCCUUCUCACUUUGUUUCCUGAUGAGGUCUUAUGCACAGCUAUUCUGAAGCAGAGUGACUUGCACAUGUGUAAAAACACACAUGCUCUUGUCUGCUUAUGUUUGCAACCAUUUUUUUGUAGUGGCAGGACACCCAAUCUGAAGUUGCUUGCCGUAUAGCUCAAUAAUCUUCAUUUGAAAAUGUUAUGGCAUUGCUCAUGUCCUCUUUCUAGAGUGCAGCUCUGUUCUCUUCCACAUUAAAUUAGAUUUCCUGGCAUACACAUAUGCAAACCUUCCCCUCUCCCUUCCUUCCCCUUCCAAAAAAAAAAAAUGUCAACUGUGACCUUCCUUUCUCUUGUAUUCUCAUAUACCAAUAAAAAUAUUAAAUAUAGAAAAAAAGGGAGGGAC
rnacentral:lncRNA from 14 species